UGCUCUGAAGAAGAGAAAAGCUUCGAUCAUUAUCGAGACUCAAAAGAAAUCGAGGACCACCGAUGCUGGUAAAGGGGAGGCGGGCUCCUCUUGGGUCUCUUCCACCCCGCGGUUGAAGUUGUCUUGGCCACUCCGACUCAGGCAGGCUCUUCCAGGCCUGCCGCCUUUCUCGCUCCCAAAACUGAGGGAAGUCAUCAAUUUGCCCCCCUAGACAAGCAACCAAGUUAGGUUUCCAUUGAGGUACCGAAUAACCAAGAACUUGGCACAACCUCCCUCCUGCUAGAUGCUUCGUUUGAAGAUUGGAGGGUUGCACACAAACUGUUGGAGGGGAUGCUUCUGCUCGUCGAUCUAGAUAGGAUCGAGGGAUAGAGUUUUAGUUGCCAGUAGAGGGAGGUUGUGACCUCCAUUAUCUGAGUGAGUUCUUCUAUUCUUUUUCUCCUCUUUUCUCUUUUUUUUUACUCACUCCUUUCUGAAUGUAGUUAGGCUAUUGUAUUACUGUCUUCAUCAAUACAUUAAGGGUUACUCGAUCUGAUGCCGCUGAAGCACAAAAGAAGUGCAAGUAGGUGGAUGUUGCAAAGGUUGAGACUCAAUCUAAGGUAGAAGCAGCUGAUGCCGAAGCCAAACGCUUAAAGGAGGUGUUGGACAAGGCCAAGGCUACCAUAGCAAAGGCCGACUUGGACUCGAAAAAGAAAAAGUGAUAGGUAGUACAGGCUA
rnacentral:lncRNA from 1 species